rnacentral:rRNA from 1 species
UAAGAACCAUAGGGAUUGCCUCAGUAACGGCGAGUGAAGCGGCAAUAGCUCAAAUUUGAAAUCUGGCUCUUUCAGAGUCCGAGUUGUAAUUUGUAGAGGAUGCUUCGGCUUACGUUUCGGUCUAAGUUCCUUGGAACAGGACGUCACAGAGGGUGAGAAUCCCGUUUGUGGCCGAGACUUCCGCCAUGUGAAGCUCCUUCGACGAGUCGAGUUGUUUGGGAAUGCAGCUCUAAAUGGGAGGUAUAUUUCUUCUAAAGCUAAAUACCGGCCAGAGACCGAUAGCGCACAAGUAGAGUGAUCGAAAGAUGAAAAGCACUUUGGAAAGAGAGUUAAAAAGUACGUGAAAUUGUUGAAAGGGAAGCGCUUGCGACCAGACUUGCCCGCGGAUGCUCAACCGGUCCUUCGGCCGGUGCACUCUUCCGCGGUCAGGCCAGCAUCAGUUCGAGCGGUCGGAUAAAGGCCUUGGGAAUGUGGCUCUCUUCGGGGAGUGUUAUAGCCCUUGGUGUAAUACGGCCCGCCUGGACUGAGGCCCGCGCUUCGGCUAGGAUGCUGGCGUAAUGGUCGUAAGCGGCCCGUCUUGAAACACGGACCAAGGAGUCUAACAUCUAUGCGAGUGUUUGGGUGUCAAACCCGUGCGCGAAAUGAAAGUGAACGGAGGUGGGAACCUUAGGGUGCACCAUCGACCGAUCCUGAUGUCUUCGGAUGGAUUUGAGUAAGAGCAUAGCUGUUGGGACCCGAAAGAUGGUGAACUAUGCCUGAAUAGGGUGAAGCCAGAGGAAACUCUGGUGGAGGCUCGCAGCGGUUCUGACGUGCAAAUCGAUCGUCAAAUUUGGGUAUAGGGGCGAA